CCUACGGGUGGCAGCAGUGAGGAAUAUUGGUCAAUGGGCGAGAGCCUGAACCAGCCAAGUCGCGUGAGGGAGUACUGCCCUAUGGGUUGUAAACCUCUUUUGUCGGGGAGCAAAAGCCGGACGUGUCCGGCUGUGAGAGUACCCGAACAAAAAGCAUCGGCUAACUCCGUGCCAGCAGCCGCGGUAAUACUGAGGAUGCGAGCGUUAUCCGGAUUUAUUGGGUUUAAAGGGUGCGCAGUCGGAUUGUUAAGUCAGCGGUAAAAUCCUGGGGCGCAACCCCAUCCAGCCGUUGAGACUGGCGAACUAGGGUGUGCGAGAGGUAUGCGGAAUGCGUGGUGAAGCGGUGAAAUGCAUAGAUAUCACGCAGAACCCCGAUUGCGAAGGCAGCAUACCGGUGCACAACUGACGCUCAGGCACGAAAGCGUGGGUAUCGAACAGGAUUAGAUACCCGGGUAGUC
rnacentral:rRNA from 1 species